CUCUGCCUCCCGGGUUCAAGCGAUUCUCCCGAGUUGCUGGGACCACGGGCUCGUGACGCCACGCCCGGCUAAUUUUUUUGUAUUUUUGGUAGAGACGGGGUUUCACCAUGUGAGCCAGGAUGCUCUCCAUCUCCUGACCUCAUGAUCCGCCCGCCUCGGCCUCCCAAAGUGUUGGGAUUACAAGCGUGAGCCACUGCGCCCGGACUGGAGCUUUUACAAUUUUAACUCCUUAAGGUGAAAAAACGCACUGCUUAUUUUCUUCAAGUCAAAAUGCCUUAAAGGAGCAGUAUCUUGAAUGUGACGUGGCAGACUCAAGGGGAUGCUCUUCAACAUAAAGCAUCAGAAGCCUGAGUAACAUUUUCUGAUCUUGACUCUACGUGACAAGUCGAAAAGAAUUUUUUUCAAUUUAGUUUUUACCAAGUCAGAUUCUAUUUGACAAUAUGGCAGCACUACACAUGGAAAGUAACUUAUUACUUUGGGCAUCUAGUUUAAAUAGAGACAAUCCAUAAUGUGCAUGUGAAAAAAAAUGGCCACUGUUCUUGAAGCAUUGCCCUUGAGCAAGCAACAAGUUUAAAUCUGUCAGUGUGGAAGAAAUUGUUUUUUCUUAAUUGCUUAAUUGUUAACCCUAGGAGAAAAUGACAAUAAAAUUCUACUUCAAAAUGUUUAUGUUUUUGGAAUUACAGGUACAUGUAGAAACCAUAAGUGGAACACUGUAUUAACUGAAUAUCAUUGAGAAACUUCAAGCAAACAUGUUACUGAUAUAAAUUAAAGAAUAAUUGAAAAGGAAAAGACCUCCUUCCUUUUUUCCCCAAAAGGUAAAUGUGUUUUCUUAUAGCUUUAACUACUUGCUGUAAAAUUAAAUGCUUUUAAUUUCUGAUACAAGGGAGCAGAAUACGAUGUUAAUAUUUUCUGUAUGUCUUUUGAUAUUAAUAAUGCAUUGAAAAUAUCUGCAACAUUAAAAUUCUUUCUGUGGGCUUUUUGUGAAUGCUAUUAUGUCAAGCCAUUAAUUGUGCACUUUUCCAAAAGCAGGCAACCUAUCCUGCUAGCUCUUGAAUCAUAUUGUGAAAGCAUAAUUGUAUUCUGUGCAUUCUUGGUUGACAUUAAAAUGGUCUGUUAGUUGUGUCUAGCAGAAUGUCUUCCUUUCUGAAUUAUGUAUUUAGAUAAACUUAUCCAACAACUUCAGAGCAACAUUGUGUUCCUGUCCUCCCAUCUGUAUGUAAGAGUAAAAACUAAGAGGUAGGUUUACUAAUUGGUUAAAAUAUCUUCUUCUCCACAUGUCUUAAAAUAUGAAUAAAAACAUGUAUGAAAAGAACAUUUCACAAAUGACUAUUUCAUACUUAAAGGCAUAUUUGGAAAUCUUAGAUAGUCCAGCAAGGACAACUAUGUAACUGUUACUGAACAUUGGAGUAUAUAAUAGUGAAUUAUAGCUGUCCAAAUAUCACCUAUGUCUGACUAUUGAUCUUUUUAUCUGCCUCUAGUUCUCAAGACUUCAAUUCUUCUCAAUAGCAACAUAUUUUUCAAAUAAUUUAUCUGCAAAAAUUUCCAUGAAUUUUUAAAUUUUAUUAGAACCUAAUAAUUAUUACCUCUUUUGAAUUUUCUCAUAAGGCCUCUAUAAUAUGGCCUUUUCCCUGCUUCAAUUUAUUCCCUGG
rnacentral:lncRNA from 10 species